CUGACUUUCUGCCGCGAUUGUGGAGCUGCUGCGCCAUCCCGGCUGAACAGGCCUGAUUCGCAGUAGCUCC
rnacentral:sRNA from 1 species